rnacentral:rRNA from 1 species
UACAGAGGGUGCAAGCGUUGUUCGGAAUUACUGGGCGUAAAGCGCGCGUAGGCGGUUUUGUAAGUCGGGUGUGAAAUCCCCAAGCUUAACUUGGGAACUGCAUUCGAGACUGCAUAGCUAGAGUAUGGGAGAGGGAAGUGGAAUUUCAGGUGUAGCGGUGAAAUGCGUAGAUAUCUGAAGGAACAUCAGUGGCGAAAGCGACUUCCUGGACCAAUACUGACGCUCAUGUGCGAAAGCGUGGGGAGCAAACAGG